rnacentral:rRNA from 1 species
GAUGAACGCUGGCGGCGUGCCUAAUACAUGCAAGUCGAGCGAACAGACGAGGAGCUUGCUCCUUUGACGUUAGCGGCGGACGGGUGAGUAACACGUGGAUAACCUACCUAUAAGACUGGGAUAACUUCGGGAAACCGGAGCUAAUACCGGAUAACAUGUUGAACCGCAUGGUUCAACAGUGAAAGACGGUCUUGCUGUCACUUAUAGAUGGAUCCGCGCCGCAUUAGCUAGUUGGUAAGGUAACGGCUUACCAAGGCAACGAUGCGUAGCCGACCUGAGAGGGUGAUCGGCCACACGGGAACUGAGACACGGUCCAGACUCCUACGGGAGGCAGCAGUAGGGAAUCUUCCGCAAUGGGCGAAAGCCUGACGGAGCAACGCCGCGUGAGUGAAGAAGGUCUUCGGAUCGUAAAACUCUGUUAUUAGGGAAGAACAAAUGUGUAAGUAACUAUGCACGUCUUGACGGUACCUAAUCAGAAAGCCACGGCUAACUACGUG